GAUGAACGCUGGCGGCGUGCCCAACACAUGCAAGUCGAGCGAAGCGCUUAAAUUAGUUUUCUUCGGAAUGACGAUUUUUGUGACUGAGCGGCGGACGGGUGAGUAACGCGUGGGUAACCUGCCUCAUACAGGGGGAUAACAGUUAGAAAUGACUGCUAAUACCGCAUAAGACCCCAGCUUCGCAUGAAGCGGUGGUAAAAACUCCGGUGGUAUGAUAUGGACCCGCGUCUGAUUAGCUAGUUGGUAAGGUAACGGCUUACCAAGGCGACGAUCAGUAGCCGACCUGGGAGGGUGACCGGCCACAUUGGGACUGAGACACGGCCCAGACUCCUACGGGAGGCAGCAGUGGGGAAUAUUGCACAAUGGGGGAAACCCUGAUGCAGCGACGCCGCGUGAAGGAUGAAGUAUUUCGGUAUGUAAACUUCUAUCAGCAGGGAAGAAAGUGACGGUACCUGACUAAGAAGCCCCGGCUAACUACGUG
rnacentral:rRNA from 1 species